rnacentral:rRNA from 1 species
AACGAACGCUGGCGGCGUGCCUAACACAUGCAAGUCGAGCGAGAAAGUCCCUUCGGGGGCGAGUAGAGCGGCGGACGGGUGAGUAAUACGUGGAUAAUCUUCCCUCGAGCUUGGGAUAACCCUGCGAAAGUGGGGCUAAUACCGGAUAAGGCCACAUGGCAUAAGUCAUGGGGUAGAAGGUGGCUUAUAUUUAUAUGAGCUAUCACUUGAGGAUGAGUCCAUGGCCUAUCAGCUUGUUGGUGAGGUAAGAGCCCACCAAGGCUAUGACGGGUAGCUGGUCUGAGAGGACGACUAGCCACACUGGGACUGAGACACGGCCCAGACUCCUACGGGAGGCAGCAGUGGGGAAUAUUGGACAAUGGGCGCAAGCCUGAUCCAGCCAUGCCGCGUGAGUGAAGAAGGCCUC